rnacentral:rRNA from 1 species
UACGGAAGGCAGCAGGAGUGGGGAAUCUUGCGCAAUGGGCGAAAGCCUGACGCAGCCAUGCCGCGUGAAUGAUGAAGGUCUUAGGAUUGUAAAAUUCUUUCACCGGGGACGAUAAUGACGGUACCCGGAGAAGAAGCCCCGGCUAACUUCGUGCCAGCAGCCGCGGUAAUACGAAGGGGCUAGCGUUGCUCGGAAUUACUGGGCGUAAAGGGCGCGUAGGCGGAUCGUUAAGUCAGAGGUGAAAUCCCAGGGCUCAACCCUGGAACUGCCUUUUGAUACUGGCGAUCUUGAGUAUGAGAGAGGUAUGUGGAACUCCGAGUGUAGAGGUGAAAUUCGUAGAUAUUCGGAAGAACACCAGUGGCGAAGGCGACAUACUGGCUCAUUACUGACGCUGAGGCGCGAAAGCGUGGGGAGCAAACAGGGAUUAGAUACC